CCCCUCUCAGAGUCGCACCUGGAGAGUUUCUAGUAUUCUACCAGACUCGACUACGGGAGGGAGAGUCAAGCAGAGGCCUACCCAUUCCAUUCCUAGCUUGGCUAGCGAGUGGAAGGCAAUCUGCCACAAAU
rnacentral:snoRNA from 2 species